rnacentral:misc_RNA from 1 species
GUACAGGCAUCACCGUUAAGAUACGCAUCGAUAACCCGCCUGAAGCCAGCCGUCCAUUCAGAAGAUCGACGGCCCACAGGCUGCUGGAGUGAUUCUGUUGGGCAUGUAAAACGGUUCGCGUGGAUUCGGAACGGUCAGAGACCGCUCUCGUUCAGUUACGCAACAAACGAGACCGAGCACGACAACGUAGACGAGGACGAAAGACGACGACGACGUAACGCCAAUGGAAGUCCGGCAAUUAGUUAAGAAGACGAGCAAUCGACUUCCUGCAGCUCUUUCAUCGACGUUGAUAGGGUGACCGUCGACGAUGAGGCAACCGGCUAACGGAACACAGGCUGUUAGGCAACCGGGGACAUCGUGCUCGAGACUCUGUUCUCUCUACCGUUUCUGACAACUGUUGCACCGUUCUCGUGCGGAUAUAGAUGAUGCAGAAGUUUGGAAUUCUAUUCCCUUUGUAUUGUGAUCUUACCAUUGGUUACGUGUGUCCGAAGCAGCGGACUGGAUGUAGAAAUUGAUCGAUGUGUGAGAAACACGGAACGUUUAAACGUGUAGAGUGCAGGGAAAGGUAGCGCUUCAGACUCCUCCAGGCAGUUUUGAAAUUGAUUGAGAUGGGAGAAUAGUUGUUACUUCGUAUUUUUAAAGUUAAUUGCACCAAUACAGGAUUGCAAGGCGAUGGCUUAGAUUUAAAUUGGUAACUUUCCUUCUUGGAAUUUGUGUACAUUUCGUUAAAAAGUUUAAGGUCUGUUAAUCCUCGUCGCCCAUUAAGAUUGUUCUAUGCUAUUGUUGAAGGUAGGAUCGAAGUUAAGUACGUAUCUAGAGUUUGAUUGGUUCACAGUAACGGUAUAUAAAUAAUGGUGAAACUUGAAAAGUAUUAACAAACUACUGGAGAACAACGAUAC